rnacentral:rRNA from 1 species
GACGAACCGUGCGAACGUUGUUCGGAAUUACUGGGCGUAAAGCGCGUGUAGGCGGCUCGGCAAGUCGGGUGUGAAAGCCCUGGGCUUAACCUAGGAAGUGCACUCGAAACUGCCAAGCUUGAGUUCUGGAGAGGAAGGCGGAAUUCUCGGUGUAGAGGUGAAAUUCGUAGAUAUCGAGAGGAACACCGGUGGCGAAGGCGGCCUUCUGGACAGCAACUGACGCUGAGACGCGAAAGCGUGGGGAGCAAACAGG